rnacentral:rRNA from 1 species
GAAUUUAAUAUAAUUUUUAAAUUUAUUUGUGGAAAUAAAUUUUAUUUUAAUAUUUAUAUUUUAUUGGGAGGAUAAUUAAAUAAAAUAAACUUUAAUUUUGAGAUAGGUUUGACAUUAAUUAAUGAAAUUUUAUUGAGGAUUGAUUAUUAAAUUAAAAAAUUUUUUUUUUGUAAUAAUUAUUAAAAGAAUUAAUUACCUUAGGGAUAACAGCGUAAUAUUUUUAAAAAGAUCAUAUUAAUAAAAAUGAUUGC